CAUUAGUAUGGAUCCACAGUUGCCAAAAUGAGAUAUGAGCUACAAAAUGAUCCUGCAGCUUAUAUGAAACCUAUAUGCGACAUAUAUACGCAUAUAUGCAGCAUAUAUGCAGUAUAUAUACGCAUAUAUGCAGCAUAUAUAUUGCCAUAUAUGUGCAUAUAUGCAGCAUAUAUGUGCAUAUAUGCCACAUAUAGGUUUCAUAUAUGCGCAUAUAUCCACAUAUAGAUUCUUUCCAUUGAACAACAUAUAUUGGAGAUUUUAUCCUUUGUAAAGUGUAUCUGGUUUUAUGUUGGAGCUCAUCGUGAUAAAUGCAGCCAAAAUCUUCACCUGCUUUACUGUUGCCUGCAGACACACAUUAUUGUACUGCUCUCCAGCCCUUCUGCAAAUAAACUACCUCUUACUACAGCCAAAUAGUUCAACUCAUCAGUGCAUAGCACCUGCUGCCAUUUUUCUGCACACCAGUUCCUAUGUUUUUGUGCAUAGUUGAGUCCCUUUGCCUUGUUUCACAAGACAAUUCUUUCACAAAGACAACUUCUCCGGACAGUAGAUGGGUGUACCUAAGUCACACGCUGCAUUAAGUUUCCUAGGCCAAACCGUGGAGGACCAUAGACGCCACAGCACAUCUUGAAACUGCUGUCAAAUCUUUGCCAGGGAGAGACCUUGCUGAUGCAUUACGACUACUUUGUGUCUUGCCAUGGUGUAUGACCUGUGACAUGAAACUGUAAAUUAUUUAUAAACAACAUGCUUUAUUUUAAUUUUGACAGUAUAGCUACUUUUACUUAAUUGCAUUCCAUUUACACCAUAACAGGAACACACUACAAUAAAUUUUGAGAACUGAUCACUGUUCAUUUGCUGUAUAGUAUAUAUAACCUAUUUACAGGGACAAUUGUAAGAAAAUAAUCAAUGUUAUUCACAUACAUACGCUACAGUCUACAGCACACAGCCACAACAGAGACUGUUUUAAUGCAUGUUUUAAGUUCAGCAACAAUUACAGCCUUACAGUAUAAAAGAACUUUCAUUACCCACUCUCUAUACACUCUGCGUUUCUCAACAGGUCUUGCCAAGUUUUAGUAGUGUGAUUGUCUACCUGAUUAACAGAUUUUGUUUGUUUUUCAUGAUUUGCCUUAGCCCUGUCUAGUUUAUAAUGUUUGAUCAUUACCUAAACCCUGCCUGUUUGUUGUAUAAGAUAAUGCUGUAUUUACUUGCAUCUCCUGUCUAACACACAGCAAAUCUGAACUGAACUGAACUAAACUGAACUGAAUAGAAUAGAAUAUGAUAGAAUACUCUUUACUGAUUACUGUAAAUGUUAAUCUGUUAUAUCAUGUUAAUCUGUUAUAAAUGUUAAUAAGUUAUAUCAAAGAAAAUGUAAUUAAAAACCUUAAUAACUGAGCUAUAAAACAUAAUAGGUGCAUAUGAUUUUACACAUACAAUUAUGUACAGUAACUAACAUUACAUUAUUGAGGCACAGAUGGCAAGAGCUUCACUCACAAAGAUUGCUUAGCUACCAAGUUUCAGGGUAAGAGCUAUGGGAUAAAAAAUUAGUGAUUUACAGCGACACUCACACAUUAGUGAAAUAUUUAGACAAUACCAGAAGAGCAACAGUAGGUUGGUCUGUGCUACCUGCUGUGUCUGUGUCAUGUUCAUAGUUCCUGUUUUGUAUCCAUAGUUUGUGUUUAGACUCCUAAAUCUGUGUUUGUGUUUUAACUCUAAAUA